GGUAAACGCUGGCGGCGUGCCUAAAACAUGCAAGUCGAACGGGCAGCCUUCGGGCUGUCAGUGGCAGACGGCUGAGUAACGCGUGGGUGACGUACCUAUCGAUGGGGAAUAACUGCCCGAAAGGGUGGCUAAUACCGCAUACGCCCGUUGAUUCGUGUUGACGGGGAAAGUCUCGCGAGAGGCAUCGAUGGAGCGGCCCGCGUCCGAUUAGCUGGUUGGUGGGGUAACGCCUACCAAGGCGACGAUCGGUAGCUGGUCUCAGAGGAUGAUCAGCCAGACUGGGACUGAGACACGGCCCA
rnacentral:rRNA from 1 species